rnacentral:SRP_RNA from 2 species
CCGCGCAGCCGGGAAGAUAGCGGCGUCCUGUACCUGCAAUCCGCUACAGCAGGGGUGAUGGUCGGCCUCGGGUUUAUUUUGUAGGGCUGCCCUUUAUAAGUGAUGUUGACGUUUGGGUCUUAUGCAAUGGAAUCCUGCGAACCGUGUCAGGUCAGGAAUGAAGCAGCACUAAGCAGAUCAUUUCAUGUGACAUGAGGAAGCCUAGACCGAGUUAACUGUAAAGGUAACGCUUAUGGAAUACUCACAAAGCAGAUCGCGCGG